GACGAACGCUGGCGGCGUGCCUAAUACAUGCAAGUAGAACGCACAGUUUAUACCGUAGCUUGCUACACCAUAGACUGUGAGUUGCGAACGGGUGAGUAACGCGUAGGUAACCUGCCUGGUAGCGGGGGAUAACUAUUGGAAACGAUAGCUAAUACCGCAUAAUAUUGAUUAUUGCAUGAUAAUUGAUUGAAAGAUGCUAUUGCAUCACUACCAGAUGGACCUGCGUUGUAUUAGCUAGUAGGUGAGGUAACGGCUCACCUAGGCGACGAUACAUAGCCGACCUGAGAGGGUGAUCGGCCACACUGGGGCUGAGACACGGCCCAGACUCCUACGGGAGGCAGCAGUAGGGAAUCUUCGGCAAUGGACGAAAGUCUGACCGAGCAACGCCGCGUGAGUGAAGAAGGUUUUCGGAUCGUAAAGCUCUGUUGUAAGAGAAGAACGGGUGUGAGAGUGGAAAGUUCACACUGUGACGGUAUCUUACCAGAAAGGGACGGCUAACUACGUG
rnacentral:rRNA from 1 species